rnacentral:misc_RNA from 1 species
AAAAAAGAUGAAAGAUAACGAAUAGAAGGUUUUAAUACAAUAAGAAUGAAAGGUGAAUGAUGAAUUAUCUUAGAUUGACAAUAAUGGUGAAAUAUGGAUAAAAUUCAAUGGAGAAGAAGAAUAGGCUGGAGGCUAUUGUUGACUGGCGUUGAGACGCCGGGGCCAGUGAAAAGGAGACGAAGAAGAAGAACCAUGGAGGUUGCAGUUCAG